CCAAUACCCUCCCAAGGCGGGAUCCCCGACCCUGAAGGCGGAGAAGGCACCUCUGGUGCAAAUGUUUCUGUGCUCCCCCUAUCAUUUCCAUCCCUGACGUUAUCGCAGAUUAGAAGG